CUUUCCCUCUUUCUUCCUGCCUAACACAUGCAAGUCGAGCGGAUGAAGGGAGCUUGCUCCUGGAUUCAGCGGCGGACGGGUGAGUAAUGCCUAGGAAUCUGCCUGGUAGUGGGGGAUAACGUCCGGAAACGGGCGCUAAUACCGCAUACGUCCUGAGGGAGAAAGUGGGGGAUCUUCGGACCUCACGCUAUCAGAUGAGCCUAGGUCGGAUUAGCUAGUUAGUGGGGUAAAGGCCUACCAAGGCGACGAUCCGUAACUGGUCUGAGAGGAUGAUCAGUCACACUGGAACUGAGACACGGUCCAGACUCCUACGGGAGGCAGCAGUGGGGAAUAUUGGACAAUGGGCGAAAGCCUGAUCCAGCCAUGCCGCGUGUGUGAAGAAGGUCUUCGGAUUGUAAAGCACUUUAAGUUGGGAGGAAGGGCAGUAAGUUAAUACCUUGCUGUUUUGACGUUACCAACAGAAUAAGCACCGGCUAACUUCGUG
rnacentral:rRNA from 1 species